rnacentral:tRNA from 1 species
CCGCUGGUGCGCGGCUGGAUCCGGCUGACCUACCGCGGCGGCGUCCUGCUCGGCCGGCUCGGCGUCGGCCCGGCGGCC